AAGGGAAUAAGUAUAAAAGAAGCUGCUAACUAUUUUUUAAAGCGGUUAAAUUCCGUUUUUCCCUUU
rnacentral:tRNA from 1 species